GAUGAACGCUGGCGGUGUGCCUAAUACAUGCAAGUCGAGCGGAGCUUAUCCUUCGGGGUAAGCUUAGCGGCGGACGGGUGAGUAACACGUAGGCAACCUACCCUGUAGACUGGGAUAACUACCGGAAACGGUAGCUAAUACCGGAUAAUUCCUUUCUUCUCCUGGAGAAAGGAUGAAAGGCGGAGCAAUCUGCUACUAGAGGAUGGGCCUGCGGCGCAUUAGCUAGUUGGUGGGGUAACGGCCCACCAAGGCGACGAUGCGUAGCCGACCUGGGAGGGUGAACGGCCACACGGGGACUGAGACACGGCCCAGACUCCUACGGGAGGCAGCAGUAGGGAAUCUUCCGCAAUGGGCGAAAGCCUGACGGAGCAACGCCGCGUGAGUGAUGAAGGUUUUCGGAUCGUAAAGCUCUGUUGCCAGGGAAGAACGUCCGGUAGAGUAACUGCUACCGGAGUGACGGUACCUGAGAAGAAAGCCCCGGCUAACUACGUGCCAGCCGCCGCGGUAA
rnacentral:rRNA from 1 species